UGUGGAGUAGAGUGGUUAAGAGUCUAGCCUCUGGAGCCUGAUACCCUGGGUUCAAACCCCAGCUCCACUU
rnacentral:tRNA from 1 species